CCUUUGCUUUGGCAGGAGAAAAUCUGGAAAGCAGGAAGGAAGAAAAGAAGCCCCCUGACUCCUCCCUGAGCCCCAGACAGCUCAUGAACUGCCUUGCUGGGAAUGGUAGGACGGGCUGGACUCUGGAUUGCUCCCUCUGGAUGUGUGGCUCUCCCCUGCAGGAACUGCAGGAACUCCUGGUGCCGCCUGGGCCGAUGGAUUGGACGCCCCAGCCCCUCCGUUCCUGCCCAGCCCCUGGGGCCGUGUCCAGUGGUGGCACUGCCAGCCCUGCAGUGGGAUGUAGCCUGGAAACUGCAGAGAGCUGAGCCAAGGGAUUGAAAGGGACCAAGCAAGGGAGGUGAAGAAAGAAGGAAGAAGGGAAGUGAGGCAGCAGGCAAGCAGCAGCAAGUUG